AGUAACGCGUGGGUAACCUGCCUUGUACUGGGGGAGUAGCAGCUGGAAACGGCUGGUAAUACCGCAUAAGCGCACAAUGUUGCAUGACAUGGUGUGAAAAACUACCGGUGGUAUAAGAUGGACCCGCGUCUGAUUAGCUAGUUGGUGAGAUAACAGCCCACCAAGGCGACGAUCAGUAGCCGACCUGAGAGGGUGACCGGCCACAUUGGGACUGAGACACGGCCCAGACUCCUACGGAAGGCAGCAUG
rnacentral:rRNA from 1 species